GUCAUGAACAAUAGGAAUGUUGACACACUCAGGAUAGCAAAGAUAAAGAAUACUUUUUUUCUUCCGCGAUAGCGAUGCAAAAGACAACGGCACAUGAUCAAACUCAACAUUCAAGAUGGCAGCUGAGGUGAUAAAAAAAAACUCACAUCAGAGACAAAAAUCUAAGAAUACAUUUUGCAGAGGCUGUGAGCAAGCUAAAGUGACAACACAGAAAAAAACAAAACAAAUAAAUGACGGCAUCCUAUUAAAUCAUGUUCUGCCUUUUCUGCUCUGCCCAUUUCACACCAUAGUAGCACACAGGAAAUGAACCAUUACGUUUUUUUUUCUUUUUACAGCAUUACCAAGAAUGAUUGCACCAGCGCCACUAUUGAGGCUCAGAGACAAUUAUGCUGAUAUAAGACAGUAUGUUACCUUUCCUUACAAGAAAGGGGAGAGGGCCGUAUAUUUAAUACUAACGUUAGAUCUCCUUCUUUUCACAGACGGCUAAGUUAACACGGUUCAACAUCAUUUAACUGAUGAAGUGUCAGAUCCUAUCUCACUUUUCUCUCCCUGUCUCUGUUUUUUUUUUCCGUUUUGUUUUUGUAGACCACAAAAAUCACAAUUACCCAGAGUCUCUGGAGUGUACUCAUGUCAGAGGUUAGACUGCACAGCAACCAAUCAGCCCUUAUCAGGGGGAGACGGAGCCCCCUAAGGCCACGGCCCCAUGCUGGAUGGACGGAUACAGGGCCGGCUGUAACUUUUUGUCAAGGUUAUGAUCAUCCAUAUUUGUGGAUGAACAACAGGAAUGCAGCGGGAGUCACAAAGCACUCGUGUCAGCUGAGAUCAUCUCAUCGUUUUCAUUUUCCAAACUCUGUUCCCAUAGAUAAAGACGGAUCUGAGCUAUGUGUUUUCACAGGAUGCCAAAGAGGAAUAAAUGUCACAGUUUUUAGAUUAAAAAUGUGCAGACAUGCAAAAAAGGCGAAAGAAAGGAACGCUGAAAUAAAUUCAUAUUCAUAAAACAGAUGGAUGACAGUUAAAAUGUUUACCGUGACACUGGGGAGAAAGAAAAAAUUGAUUCAAUCUGAGGAAAUAAGCUGACCAGGAUUUAACAGGUGUUGCCUUUCAUAAUUUAUAUUUAUUGUAUUCCGACUAAAACCGUGAAAGUGACAGCUGAGUCCUAUUUGCUCGUCAGCUUCUCUGAUGCAAGAGGUGGCAUUAAAUAUUUCUUGCUUAUUAUUAUGCUUAUUAAAGUUCAAACAGUCAAAAGCAGCUGAGUCGAUGACGUUUAAGGAGACGGAAAGAAAAUAAAAGAGAAUACUAUAAUGUGACUAUAAUAUGACUUCAUAUCUUCAUUCAAUAUCGGAGUGGUUAUUUGUCACGUGCUCGUGCACACUCCUGUGUACAGCUGUGGAAAAUCCAUUCUGGCUCAAACAUGACCCUUGACCUCGUCUGCCAUUAGCGAUGACCUCACGCUCACAGUUCUGGUCUCCGUCAUAGUGAAGGGCGAGAGGACAAGGAGCAUAUGCUUCAGGGGGGUCACGCAUGCAGCGACCCCUCAGUUCAAAACCCACAACGGCCCUCGGGAGGUAGCUGGAAGCGUCAGUCAGCGAUACAUUUUUGCAAGCUUUAGCAGAGGCAACACAAAGCCCACAAUAAAAAUGUCCAAAAACAGAACAUUCACAAUAAAAAAACACAUGUUCAAAACAUGUUAAGAAUGAUCCAAAAUAUAAUACCUUCAUAUAGACACACACAUCUUUAUCCUGUCCUUCUGAAUCCCAGCAAUAAAACAUUUAACAACAUCUUCAAAAUACCAACACUGACUGUAGCAAAACGUUCCCGUUUGACUAUAACAAACACUUAAAUCACCAUGGUGCCUCUAAAAGACAUUUCUAAUAGCAGACUGUGGGCCAUUUACAGUAUAGUGAUAAGGCUAAACUGGUCACAGUUUUAUAUUCUACUCUACACAAAAACAUCUGCCAUUUUACAUUGAAAAAUCUCAGCGGCGGGUGGAUUAAUCUCCCGAAAGGAGAGCACUUAUUCAGCAUAAUCGAUCUUACUUGUGUGUAAUUGAAGAGUUUCUUCUCCAGGAAGGAUCCAUUUUUC
ensembl:lncRNA